rnacentral:rRNA from 1 species
CUACGGGUCGCACCAGUGAGGAAUCUUGCGCAAUGGGGGAAACCCUGACGCAGCGACGCCGCGUGGGUGAUGAAGGCCUUCGGGUCGUAAAGCCCUGUCGAGAGGGAAGAAUUGCAUUUAGGUUAAUAGCCUAAUUGUUUGACGGUACCUCCAAAGGAAGCACCGGCUAACUCCGUGCCAGCAGCCGCGGUAAUACGGAGGGUGCAAGCGGUGUUCGGAAUCACUGGGCGUAAAGGGCGUGUAGGCGGCUGAGUAAGUCAGGUGUGAAAUCCCUCGGCUCAACCGAGGAAGUGCAUUUGAUACUGCUCAUCUUGAGUACUGGAGAGGGAGAUGGAAUUCCCGGUGUAGAGGUGAAAUUCGUAGAUAUCGGGAGGAACACCAGUGGCGAAGGCGAUCUCCUGGACAGAUACUGACGCUAAGGCGCGAAAGCGUGGGGAGCAAACAGGAUUAGAUACCCUCGUAGUC